rnacentral:rRNA from 1 species
GACGAACGCUGGCGGCGUGCUUAACACAUGCAAGUCGAACGGAAAGGCCCUGCUUUUGUGGGGUGCUCGAGUGGCGAACGGGUGAGUAACACGUGAGUAACCUGCCCUUGACUUUGGGAUAACUUCAGGAAACUGGGGCUAAUACCGGAUAGGAGCUCCUGCUGCAUGGUGGGGGUGGGAAAGUUUCGGCGGUUGGGGAUGGACUGGCGGCUUAUCAGCUUGUUGGUGGGGUAGUGGCUUACCAAGGCUUUGACGGGUAGCCGGCCUGAGAGGGUGACCGGCCACCAUGGGACUAAGAUACGGCCCAGAGUCCUACAGGAGGCAGCAGUGGGGAAUAUUGCACAAUGGGCGGAAGCCUGAUGCAGCAACGCCGCGUUCGGGAUGACGGCCUUCGGGUUGUAAACCGCUUUCGCCUGUGACGAAGCGUUAGUGACGGUAAUGGGUAAAGAAGCACCGGCUAACUACGUG